UUUUCUCGUAGCUUGCUAUGAGAACAAUUAGUGGAAAACGGGUGAAGAAUGCAUAGGAAUCUACCUAGUAGUAUAGGAUAGCCACUAGAAAUGGUGGGUAAUACUGUAUAAUCCCUGCGGGGGAAAGAUUUAUCGCUACAUGAUGAGCCUAUGUUAGAUUAGCUAGUUGGUGGGGUAAUGGCCUACCAAGGCAGUGAUCUAUAGCUGGUCUGAGAGGAUGAUCAGCCACACUGGAACUGAGACACGGUCCAGACUCCUACGGGAGGCAGCAGUGGGGAAUAUUGGACAAUGGGCGCAAGCCUGAUCCAGCUAUGCCGCGUGAGUGAGGAAGGCCUUAGGGUUGUAAAACUCUUUCAGUGGGGAAGAUAAUGACGGUACCCACAGAAGAAGUCCCGGCAAACUCCGUGCCAGCAGCCGCGGUAAUACGGAGGGGGCAAGCGUUGUUCGGAAUUAUUGGGCGUAAAGGGCAUGUAGGUGGUUUGGUAAGUUAAAGGUGAAAUGCCAGGGCUUAACCCUGAAG
rnacentral:rRNA from 1 species